rnacentral:rRNA from 1 species
UACGAAGGGGGGCUAGCGUUGCUCGGAAUCACUGGGCGUAAAGGGUGCGUAGGCGGGUCUUUAAGUCAGGGGUGAAAUCCUGGAGCUCAACUCCAGAACUGCCUUUGAUACUGAGGAUCUUGAGUUCGGGAGAGGUGAGUGGAACUGCGAGUGUAGAGGUGAAAUUCGUAGAUAUUCGCAAGAACACCAGUGGCGAAGGCGGCUCACUGGCCCGAUACUGACGCUGAGGCACGAAAGCGUGGGGAGCAAACAGGAUUAGAAACCCUUGUGCGUCCAAG